CUUCCCUUUCUGGGGCACCCUGGGAUCUGUGUUAAGUCAAUUUCCUGGGAACGCUCCCCUGAGGGCUGGUAGCCCCCCACUUCCCGGGUACGCUGUUCCAUAACCCUCAAGAGAAACAGCCGGUGACAAGUGGGAGCAGGGGCCUCCUUGCUCUGGGAACCACAGGGGCUGCUUCCCCGACCCCCCUUCAGCCCUGACCCAUCUGGCCUCUCUCAUAGCCUGGGUGUCCCCAAAUCAUGGGAUCUUUUGUUUCACAGGACUUGAGAGAUGACCUAAGACCUGUCCAUGGGAUACAGAAAUCCUGGAGAGAAGCAGCUCAGGCCCUGUCCACCCGGAGUCACCUGCCAGUACCACAUCCUGACCAGAAUGGCUUCUGCUCGCCCACAGUGCUGCCGCAGGAUGGCCCACAACAGGAAAUAGCAUCUGAGGACAGACCUGGAGAAAAGCUUGCAGCGGAUGACGCCUGUGCGCAGCUCCAUCAGAGGCAGGAGAAAUGAAAAAUGAGUGCCGUCGAAAAUGAAGUGAAGAAAAGAACAUCAUUAGGCAGCUACUUUCGCACCGCACCUCCAAGCAAAUGAUGGCAGCAGAGUUGCUGGCAGGUUUCAGCGAGGAGGGCCAUUGACUCCCCGCACACAGAAGAGAGGACAGUGACUUGCUCUGGGCCACAGAAGGCAAGAAGUCUGGCCUUUGGCCCCAGCCUGCACCACUGUCCUCUGUAAGUCUGCUCAGAGGGACGGCCACCAAAAGACCCUGCCCCUUCUCAUCUGCUCCUUUUGUUUUUUGUUUCUUUGUUUGUGUUUUGAGACAGGGUCUCACCAAGCAGUCCAGAUGGCCUUGGGAGGGCAGGUGCUGGGGGAGAAAUUCAAUUCUCGGCAGAUACACAGUCUGGCUGUGCUGACGCCCUUUGCCUACCUUCAUUCCCAGGCUCCUCCUUACAUCUCCUUCCCAGCAUGGAAGCCCUCCUGCCACUCUUCCAUUUUAAACCUGGACUGGGAAGCCAGGGCCUUAAUUUUUUAAAUUCUAGUUAUUGAAUUCUGCAGAGACCAAUCUGGAUUCAGCCACAGCAGGGCUCCCUCAGCGGGAGAACCAGAGCUGUCUCAACAGAAUCUCUUCUCACCAACACAAGAGACAGACCCGAACAUGAGGGAUGCUGGGGACCCUGUUUCCUAGGCAAUUUUAAUUACCAACAUUAAGAGGAGGAGUUGUUCUUCCCUUCCACAGGGGGUCUCUGCCUGGCUGCUCCUGGAGAAGAGGGACAAAAUUUAAAUGGUUUUCCGGGCUGGCAGAACACAUUCCCCACAGGCACUCAGAGGCGGCAUAUAAGGGGCCACCAAGCAGUCUCAGAGGCUCCAAGCACUCAAUCCCAGCUGCCAUUGACCAGCUGAUCUCCGAAGGCAGCCCUCAGAGUUUUCUUUAGCUUUGGAGUCUAUUGGACAGUUAAAAUUCAAAUAUUUCUGGGAGGGAUGAUAGCUACUUUUGUUUUGUUUUGUUUGAGACAGGGACUUGCUAUGUGCUGGGCUUGAACUCACUAUGUAGCCCAGGCUGGCCUCAAACUAGAGGCAAUCCUCCUGCCUCUGCCUUUUGAGGGCUGGGAUUACAGAAGUCUAUACCCACACCCAACUGGGGUGUUAGCUAUUUACAGUUUAGCACAAUUUUUUCCAGCUCACCCUCCAAAAGUACUUUUCAGAGAAAGAGAAAAUCAGAUGACUAAGUGAGGGAUAAAGGAGGGAGACAAGCACUCAAAUUGGAAGUAAAGGAAAAGUUCAAGCAGAGGCUACGGCACAAGGCAAACUGAGCCUUACCAGC
ensembl:lincRNA